GUGAGGAAUUUUCCGCAAUGGGCGAAAGCCUGACGGAGCAAUGCCGCGUGAAGGAUGAAGGCCUAUGGGUUGUAAACUUCUUUUCUCAGAAAAGAAUUAUGACGGUAUCUGAGGAAUAAGCAUCGGCUAACUCUGUGCCAGCAGCCGCGGUAAGACAGAGGAUGCAAGCGUUAUCCGGCAUGAUUGGGCGUAAAGCGUCUGUAGGUUGUUUAAAAAGUAUUCUGUCAAAGAUUAGGACUUAACCCUAGAUAGGCAGAAUAAACUUUUAAGCUAGAGUUUGGUAGAGGCAGAGGGAAUUCCCGGUGGAGCGGUGAAAUGCGUAGAUAUCGGGAGGAACACCAAAGGCGAAGGCACUCUGCUGGGCCAAUACUAACACUGAGAGACGAAAGCGAGGGGAGCAAAUGGGAUUAGAUACCCUUGUAGUCC
rnacentral:rRNA from 1 species